rnacentral:rRNA from 1 species
CUGGCUCAGGACGAACGCUGGCGGCGUGCCUAAUACAUGCAAGUCGAACGGUCUUUCUAUGGAAGCUUGCUUCCACUGAGAAGAUAGUGGCGAACGGGUGAGUAACACGUGGGUAACCUGCCCAUAAGAGGGGGAUAACAUCCGGAAACGGGUGCUAAUACCGCAUAGUUUUCUUGAUCGCAUGAUUGAGAAAGGAAAGACGGCCUUUGUGCUGUCGCUUAUGGAUGGACCCGCGGCGUAUUAGUUAGUUGGUGAGGUAACGGCUCACCAAGACGAUGAUACGUAGCCGACCUGAGAGGGUGAUCGGCCACAUUGGGACUGAGACACGGCCCAAACUCCUACGGGAGGCAGCAGUAGGGAAUCUUCCGCAAUGGACGAAAGUCUGACGGAGCAACGCCGCGUGAGUGAAGAAAGGUUUUCGGAUCGUAAAACUCUGUUGUCAGAGAAGAACAAGUUGGAGAGUAACUGCUCCAGCCUUGACGGUAUCUGACCAGAAAGCCACGGCUAACUACGUGCCAGCAGCCGC